rnacentral:tRNA from 1 species
AGCUCAGUUGGUAGAGUGUCUGCCUUGCAUGCACAAGACCCUGAGUUCAAUCCCCAG